GCAUGGCCGUUUCUGCUGCUGAUGCAGUCCUAGUAACUGGGGAAUUCAAGGCUGAAUAACUUUCAUGCUAAGAUUACAAGAUGAAGAGGAGCCAGGAGCUCCCACUUAAAAUUCUUUAUCUUACAAAAGGCAAUUGACUGUAGAGUGUGAAACAGACCAUUGUGCUGGUGUGCUGAGGGCCAGCAGCCGACCCAGCCUUCCCGUCACUUACUAAUUCCCCCAGAGAAGCCCUGAUUGAGGGGAGGAAGAUUAAUUAUCUAAUCAGACUUGGGGCUGAUGAGCUAAGGGGUUAAUUAUCCCAUCAGCUGAGAUGGUAGUUAAAAAGCACAGGCACUGGGUACAAAAGGAAGGCUUGCAGAGCCCAGAGGAAGAUAGGUUUCUGGCUGGUGAGAGGCCUCCUCCUCCUCCUUGGAGACAGGGCUGAGGAUUGAAGGUACUGCCGUUGGCGAGGCUGCAGAAUCCGGACUGGUGAGAUCAGCGAUGGACACCAAUGGUGGAUCACAGGGGACCAAGACAGAUGUUCUCUCUAAACAAGCAGAAGGCAAUACCACAAUAAGUGACUUUUGAUUGAGGAGGAGAGGAAGGACUUUCAUCUACCCCAUGUGGACCUUAGUGAUAGACACAAUCUUAUAGCACAGAAAUCCUACCUCUACAGCCAGCGAUUGGCUAAGAGUGAAAUUUCCUGGAAGCCAGGUGGCUUUAUGAACACUUGGCAAAUGAACGGUUACUUCUUUUUAACAUGCCCGCAAGAGAAAGCAUCAAGUUCUUCUGCUCCUGUGGUUCAUGAUAUCACUGCAGGUCUCCUCUCCUUCCAUGCAUGUGUCUGCCCAGUAAAUAAAUCCAUGGUUGAAGAGUCAUGCAUCCCAUUGAAAACCUUCCGCCCACAAUAUAGGAGAAACAUGCAGAACACGAGAAGAUAAGAACAUUGGCAAGUAUAUGGUUAGCCAGCAUAUUCUCUGCUCCUCUGCCAUUGUUAAUGGUGGGAAAGAAUAAAAAGCAAUGCUCUGCAUUUUACAGAAAGCCGAUUCCUCUGUUCAGAAAAUCUUGCUUUGCCAGUAUUGCCCACCUGUGGGGUUUUACCGCAGAGUGAAGUGGUAUUAAUUUCAAAUGGGAAUGAAUAGCUGGACCGUUGGGGCUCUGUACACAAGAUCCACCAGGGACACCAGUUAUAAAAUGUCUCUUGACCACUGAGAUUCUCAGGUAAUUCUUCAGCUGCAGAACUCAUCCGUAAGGGGUUUUACCUUGUGCAUGUGUGAGAUUGUUUGCAUAGGCUGACCCUGGGUUAAGACAGGGGUUUACAAAUCACGUUGCCCGAUUUUCUGCUUGUUCAAAUUCUUCUCUCCUCUGCUGAAAAAGCCUCGUGAGCCCCCAAACCACGUGUUUAAAGUCCUGAUACCACGUCUGCAUCGCUUCAGAGCUGAGCUCCUGCAUGUCCAUGCAAUUCCUCGUCUUCAUAUUUGCAAGAUUCCCAACCUGGGUUUGUGCUGGUCAUGCUACAAUCCGCCCUUUGCUCAGACAAGACUCUCACCACCCAGGAAGAGAAUGUAGAACCUUUAGCAGCUUGUUUUUGCAAUAGGAGGUAUAAAGAGUGGAUGAUUGUCCAGUGUCAUCUACAUAAAGAAGAGGUGUGAAAAACUUCCCAGUCCAUAAGGUCCCUUCAUAAGAAUAGGUCUUCCUUUGUGCUAUGCUGUGAGAAAAUGCUUAUAGGAGGAUUCUGCCUAAGGUGGCAUCCGAGAUAGAGGAUCCUUCUUUCAGAGUAUAGUCUUUUAUCUGUGAGAGCCUUAUGAAGAGGGAUAGGACAAAUUAAACAUCAUCGCACUCAUUCAUAGAAAAGUUUCACCAUGAGCUAGCUAGCAAGCUGAACCAGCAAGGAUGUAGGAGGUGCGGGAGCCAGGGAUGGGGGAAAUGUGUUGGCCAAAGGC